UGAGGAAUAUUGGGCAAUGCCCGCAAGGGUGACCAGCAACGCCGCGUGGAGGAUGAAUGUCGUAAGAUUGUAAACUCCUGUUAGAGGGGAAGAAUAGUACCGGUUGGACCGGUAUAUGACUGUACCCUCAGAGAAAGCCCCGGCUAACUACGUGCCAGCAGCCGCGGUAAUACGUAGGGGGCAAGCGUUGUCCGGAUUUACUGGGUGUAAAGGGCGCGCAGGCGGGAUAAAAAGUCAGUGGUGAAAUCCUACAGCUUAACUGUAGAACUGCCUUUGAUACUUUUAUUCUUGAGUUCGGGAGAGAGAGACGGAAUUCCAGGUGUAGUGGUGAAAUACGUAGAUAUCUGGAAGAACACCAGUUGCGAAGGCGGUCUCUUGGUCCGACACUGACGCUGAGGCGCGAAAGCGUGGGGAGCAAACA
rnacentral:rRNA from 1 species